rnacentral:rRNA from 1 species
UUAAUCCCGCCAGGAAAGAAGCCACCGGGCUAAACUUCCGUUGCCAGCCAAGCCCGCGUUAAUUACGGAAGGGGUGCCAAGGCGUUUAAUCGGGAAAUUAACUUGGGCGUAAAAGCCGCACGCAGGCGGGUCUGUUCAAGUUCGGAUGUGGAAAUCCCCGGCUCUCAACUUGGGAAACUGCAUUCGAAACUGGCAAGGCUAGAGUCCUGUAGAAGGGGGGUAGAAUUCCCAGGUGUAGCGGUUGAAAUGCGUAGAGAUCUGGAGGAAUACCGGUGGCGAAGGGCGGCCCCUGGACAAAGACUGACGCUCAGGUGCGAAAGCGUGGGGAGCAAACAGGAUUAGAUACCCUGGUAGUCCACGCCGUAAACGAUGUCGACUUGGAGGUUGUGCCCUUGAGGCGUGGCUUCCGGAGCUAACGCGUUAAGUCGACCGCCUGGGGAGUACGGCCGCAAGGUUAAAACUCAAAUGAAUUGACGGGGGCCCGCACAAGCGGUGGAGCAUGUGGUUUAAUUCGAUGCAACGCGAAGAACCUUACCUACUCUUGACAUCCAGAGAACUUUCCAGAGAUGGAUUGGUGCCUUCGGGAACUCUGAAAAAAGAUGAUGCAUGGCUGUCGUCAGCUCGUGUUGUGAAAUGUUGGGUUAAGUCCCGCAACGAGCGCAACCCUUAUCCUUUGUUGCCAGCGGUCCGGCCGGGAACUCAAAGGAGACUGCCAGUGAUAAACUGGAGGAAGGUGGGGAUGACGUCAAGUCAUCAUGGCCCUUACGAGUAGGGCUACACACGUGCUACAAUGGCGCAUACAAAGAGAAGC